rnacentral:RNase_P_RNA from 2 species
CGAGCCGGGCGGACGGCCGCGUGGAGUCUCCUUGACGGGGGGCUUCCCGAGGAACGUCCGGACUCCACAGGGCAGGGUGGUGGCUAACGGCCACCCGGGGUGACCCGCGGGACAGUGCCACAGAAAACAGACCGCCCGGCGCUCAGGCGCUGGGUAAGGGUGAAACGGUGGUGUAAGAGACCACCAGUGCCCAGGGUGACCUGGGCAGCUAGGUAAACCCCACCUGGAGCAAGGUCAAAAGGAGCGCCGUGAAAAGCGCUCUGCGCGGACGUUCGAGGGCUGCCCGCCCGAGUCCGCGGGUAGACCGCACGAGGCCGGCGGCAACGCCGGCCCUAGAUGGAUGGCCGUCUCCCCGGUCGCCGCGAGGCGGCCGGGUGACAAAAUCCGGCGUACAGCCUGACUCGUCUG